rnacentral:rRNA from 1 species
AAGUAAUUAAGAGCAAACGGCGGAUGCCUUGGCUUGCAGAGGCGAUGAAGGACGUGAUAAGCUGCGAUAAGUCACGGUGAGCGGCAAAUACGCUACGACCCGUGAAUGUCCGAAUGGGGUAACCCGGCUGGAUUAAUAUCCAGUCGCCGCCGUGUGAAUACAUAGCACGGCGCGCGCAAUACCUGGUGAAGUGAAACAUCUCAGUAACCAGAGGAAAAAAAAAAAAA